GCUUGUCCGACAGACCGGGGAGUCGCUCUGGAAGCCGCUGCGCCGAACAGGUCUCGGAUGUUUUUCUUCUCUCUGAGCCGCUGAAAUCGUCCUAUCCAGCCAGGUGUGACUAGGAGGCCGUCCUCCUCUUGGUUCUCAACAUUUCUCUGACAACCUCUGACUGUCAAACCCUCCAGCAUCACCAGAGAGAGGACAGACAGAGCUUUCUCCACAGCUUGACUCGUCACCGGACGUCCCGC